AUUGAACGCUGGCGGCAUGCCUUACACAUGCAAGUCGAACGGCAGCACGGGAGCAAUCCUGGUGGCGAGUGGCGAACGGGUGAGUAAUAUAUCGGAACGUGCCCAGUCGUGGGGGAUAACGUAGCGAAAGCUACGCUAAUACCGCAUACGCUCUAUGGAUGAAAGCGGGGGAUCGCAAGACCUCGCGCGAUUGGAGCGGCCGAGAUCAGAUUAGGUGGUUGGUGGGGUAAAGGCUCACCAAGCCGACGCUCUGUAGCUGGUCUGAGAGGACGACCAGCAACACUGGGACGGAGCCACGGCCCGGACUCCUACGGGAGGCAGCAGUGGGGAAUUUUGGACAAUGGGCGCAAGCCUGAUCCAGCAAUGCCGCGUGCAGGAUGAAGGCCUUCGGGUUGUAAACUGCUUUUGUACGGAGCGAAAAGGCUUCCACUAAUACUGGGGGCUCAUGACGGUACCGUAAGAAUAAGCACCGGCUAACUACGUGCCAGCCGCCGCAGUAAAAC
rnacentral:rRNA from 1 species